rnacentral:rRNA from 1 species
UACGUAGGGGGCAAGCGUUGUCCGGAUUUAUUGGGCGUAAAGAGCGUGUAGGCGGCCAGGUAGGUCCGUUGUGAAAACUCGAGGCUCAACCUCGAGACGUCGAUGGAAACCAUCUGGCUAGAGUCCGGAAGAGGAGAGUGGAAUUCCUGGUGUAGCGGUGAAAUGCGCAGAUAUCAGGAAGAACACCCGUGGCGAAGGCGGCUCUCUGGGACGGUACUGACGCUGAGACGCGAAAGCGUGGGGAGCGAACAGG